UUUGUUUCGUAUCCGCAAAAU
rnacentral:piRNA from 1 species